rnacentral:sRNA from 1 species
UAUCGAGAAUUGUUCUUUUCUCAAACAAAAGGCUAAUAAAUCAAUAAACGAUAACAAUCACACCCGAUUGUGCUAUUCUGUAGCUGGUCCCGAAAGUAGCUUGGACGGGUACAAGUUCUCAUACGGUGU